rnacentral:lncRNA from 1 species
UGUUUACUGGACGUGGACUCCACAAGGAUUAGUCACUUGCCCCAGGGUUGCACAACCCCUCCAAAUAAAAGUGAUAUGGUGUGACUGUGUCCUGACUCAAAUCUCAUCCUGAAUUGUCCCCCCAUGUUAUGGGAGAGACCUGGUGAGAUGUCAUUGAAUCACGGGGGUGGUUACCUCCCUGCUGCUGCUCUUGAGAUAAUGACCCUGCAGACAAAGCACAAAGCAGGGUCCUAUUCAAGCAACAUGAAUUCUGCUAAAAUUGAAACAAUA